rnacentral:rRNA from 1 species
AGUGAACGCUGGCGGUAGGCCUAACACAUGCAAGUCGAACGGCAGCACAGGAGAGCUUGCUCUCUAGGUGGCGAGGGGCGGACGGGUGAGGAAUGCAUAGGAAUCUGCCCAGUCGUGGGGGAUAACGUGGGGAAACUGACGCUAAUACCGCAUACGACCUUCGGGUGAAAGAGGGGGAUCGAAAGACGUCUCGCGAGUGGCUGAGCCGAGGUCGGAUUAGCUAGUUGGCGGGGUAAUGGCCCACCAAGGCGACGAUCCGUAGCUGGUCUGAGAGGAUGAUCGGCCACACUGGAACUGAGACACGGUCCAGACUCCUACGGGAGGCAGCAGUGGGGAAUAUUGGACAAUGGGCGCAGGCCUGAUCCAGCCAUACCGCGUGGGUGAAGAAGGCCUUCGGGUUGUAAAGCCCUUUUGUUGGGAAAGAAAUCUUUCAGGCUAAUACCCUGGGAGGAUGACGGUACCCAAAGAAUAAGCACCGGCUAACUUCGUG